rnacentral:rRNA from 1 species
AGAACGAACGCUGGCGGCAGGCUUAACACAUGCAAGUCGAGCGCCCCGCAAGGGGAGCGGCAGACGGGUGAGUAACGCGUGGGAAUCUACCCAUCACUACGGAACAACUCCGGGAAACUGGAGCUAAUACCGUAUACGUCCUUCGGGAGAAAGAUUUAUCGGUGAUGGACGAGCCGCGUUGGAUUAGCUAGUUGGUGGGUAAUGGCCUACCAAGGCGACGAUCCAUAGCUGGUCUGAGAGGAUGAUCAGCCACAUUGGGACUGAGACACGGCCCAAACUCCUACGGGAGGCAGCAGUGGGGAAUAUUGGACAAUGGGCGAAAGCCUGAUCCAGCCAUGCCGCGUGAGUGAUGAAGGCCCUAGGGUUGUAAAGCUCUUUCAACGGUGAAAGAUAAUGACGGUAACCGAGAAGAAGCCCCGGCUAACUUCGUGACCAGCAGCCG